CAGCUCACUCCCCUCCACCACAUUCCAAUCUCAUGAGAGAAGAGCCCCUAGUUCUCAGGACUUUAACCCUCUUCCUGCCAGCACCCCCAGGCCAGUGCUGAGGCUGACAAGUUGUCUAAAAGGGCAGGAGGACUUACUCCUGACAUGCAUCUGCCACCCAAACCAUCACAAUAGCCUUCCGCCUUCUCAGUGGGAGUACGAGUGACCCUGCAGCAGAAGGCAGCAGGAGGUGGUGACAAGAAUACACGUCUGGCCCUAAAACCUGGGUCAGUCACAUCCUGGCUGCCAUUCACCAGCUAUAUGAUUUUAGGAAAGUGGAUUCACCUCUGAGCUGCAGAUUCCUCAUCAAUAAAAUGAAGACAAGAACACCCA
rnacentral:lncRNA from 1 species